rnacentral:rRNA from 1 species
UACGGAGGGUGCAAGCGUUAUCCGGAUUUACUGGGCUUAAAGGGUGCGUAGGCGGAUUAGUAAGUCCGUGGUGAAAUCUCUGGGCUUAACCCGGAAACUGCCAUUGAUACUAUUAGUCUUGAAUACCGUGGAGGUCAGCGGAAUAUGUCAUGUAGCGGUGAAAUGCUUAGAUAUGACAUAGAACACCAAUUGCGAAGGCAGCUGGCUGCACGAAUAUUGACACUCAGGCACGAAAGCGUGGGGAGCAAACAGG